GACGAACGCUGGCGGCGUGCUUAACACAUGCAAGUCGAACGGGAGUAUUGAAGAAGCUUGCUUUAGAGAUACUUUAGUGGCGGACGGGUGAGUAACGCGUGAGGAGCUGUCCUAUGCAGGGGGACAACAGCUGGAAACGGCUGCUAAUACCCCAUAAGCCGAGAGGUAAAAGGAUCAAUCCGGCAGAGGAGGUACUCGCGUCCUAUCAGCUAGUAGGUGAGGUAACGGCUCACCUAGGCGAAGACGGGUAGCCGGCCUGAGAGGGCGAACGGCCACACUGGAACUGAGAUACGGUCCAGACUCCUACGGGAGGCAGCAGUGAGGAAUAUUGCGCAAUGGGGGCAACCCUGACGCAGCAACGCCGCGUGAGUGAGGAAGGUUUUCGGACUGUAAAGCUCUGUCGAGCGGGAAGAAGUGUACCAUGGCUAAUAUCCAUGAUACUUGACGGUACCGCUAAAGGAAGCACCGGCUAACUCCGUGCCAGCAGCCGCGGU
rnacentral:rRNA from 1 species